UACGUAGGGGGCAAGCGUUGUCCGGAUUCAUUGGGCGUAAAGAGCGUGUAGGCGGCCAGGUAGGUCGGUUGUGAAAACUGGAGGCUCAACCUUCAGAGGUCAUUCGAAACCAUCUGGCUAGAGUCCGGGAGAGGAGAGUGGAAUUCCUGGUGUAGCGGUGAAAUGCGCAGAUAUCAGGAAGAACACCCGUGGCGAAAGCGGCUCUCUGGAACGGUACUGACGCUGAGACGCGAAAGCGUGGGGAGCGAACAGG
rnacentral:rRNA from 1 species